UAAAAUAAUUAAGGGCACACAAAGGAUGCCUAGGUAGUAAGAGCCGAUGAAGGACGUGGUAAGCUGCGAUAAGCCUAGAUAAGUUGCAAUCGAACGUAAGAGUCUAGGAUUUCCGAAUGGAGCAAUCUAUUAAGAUGGAGUCUUAAUACGAAAGAGGGAACCACGUGAACUGAAACAUCUAAGUAACGUGAGGAAAAGAAAGUAAAAACGAUACCCAAAGUAGCGGCGAGCGAACUGGGUCAAGCCUAAACCUUAAAUAUGUCAAGGAUACAGCCGUUGUAUUUAAGGGGUUGAGGGACAAAGUAGUGAAGAACUGUAAGAUAUUCAAUAUAGUGUAUUGAUGAAUUAGAAUUGUAUGGAAAGAUAAACCGCAGAAGGUGAGAGUCCUGUAUAAGUAAAUCCUUACACAUAUAACUUUGCUCCCAAGUAACAUGGAACACGAGGAAUUCUGUGUGAAUCAGUGAGGACCAUAUCUCAUAAGGCUAAAUACUCUUACUAACCGAUAGCGCAUAGUACCGUGAGGGAAAGGUGAAAAGAACCCCUGGAGGGGAGUGAAAUAGAACCUGAAAUUGUGUGCUUACAAGCGGUCAGAGCCCAUUAGGGUGAUGGCGUGCCUUUUGGAGAAUGAUCCUGCGAGUUACGUUAAACGGCGAGGUUAAGUAUAACGGAGCCGAAGGGAAACCAAGUCUUAAUAGGGCGAUAUAGUCGUUUGGCGUAGACGCGAAACCUGGUGAUCUAAACCUGUCCAGGAUGAAGCUGUGGUAAGACACAGUGGAGGUCCUAACCCACCGCCGUUGAAAAGUUGGGGGAUGAGGUAGGUUUAGGGGUGAAAAGCCAAUCGAACCAGGAGAUAGCUCGUUCUCUCCGAAAUGCAUCUAGGUGCAGCCUUGAGUGUUCAAUUAUGGGGGUAGAGCACUGAAUGAUCUAGGGGGCAUAUUGCUUACUGAAAUCAAUCAAACUCCAAAUACCAUAAUUUAUAGCUCAGGAGUGAGACCAUGGGAGUUAACUUCCAUUGUCAAAAGGGAAACAACCCAGACCACCAGCUAAGGUCCCUAAUUAUAACUAAGUGGGAAAGGAGGUGGAGAUUCACAAACAACUAGGAGGUUGGCUUAGAAGCAGCCAUACCUUUAAAGAGUGCGUAAUAGCUCACUAGUCGAGAGUCUCUGCGCCGACAAUGUAACGGGGCUAAGUUAUAAACCGAAGCUGUGGAAUCCUUAUGGAUUGGUAGGAGAGCGUUCUGUAGGCUGUUGAAGAAGAAGGGUAACCAACUUUGGAGGUAUCAGAAGUGAGAAUGCAGGAAUAAGUAGCGAGAAAGGGGGCGAGAAUCCCCCUCGCUGGAAGACCAAGGUUUUCAGGGUAAAGCUUGUCUUCCCUGAGUAAGCCGGGACCUAAGCCCAGGCUAUAAUGCGUAGGCGAAUGGAAAACAGAUUAAUAUUUCUGUGCCAGUCAUUUAUUGUGAUGGAGGGACGCAGAAGGGUAUGUGCGCGGACGAUCGGUUGUGUCCGUAGAAGUAUGUAGGGUGACUUAGUAGGUAAAUCCAUUAAGUUAUAUCUGAGGUAUGAUAUACAGUCGUAAGAUGAAUGUACAAAUCCCACGCUGCCAAGAAAAACUUCUAACGUUAAUAUAUGACUGCCCGUACUGUAAACCGACACAGGUGGUCAGGAUGAGAAAUCUAAGGCGGACAGGCUAACUCUCGUUAAGGAACUCUGCAAAAUAACCUCGUAACUUCGGGAGAAGAGGAGCCCUUGUGUGUGAGUAUACACGCGAUACAAAGCGCACGAGGGUCGCAGUGAAGAGGCUCAAGCAACUGUUUAACAAAAACACAGGUCUAUGCUAAGCUGUAAGGCGAUGUAUAUGGGCUGACACCUGCCCGGUGCUGGAAGGUUAAGAGGAGGAGUGAGAGCUCCGAAUUGAAGCCCCAGUGAACGGCGGCCGUAACUAAAACGGUCCUAAGGUAGCGAAAUUCCUUGUCGGGUAA
rnacentral:rRNA from 1 species